GUAGGGAAUAUUGGACAAUGGGCGCAAGCCUGAUCCAGCAAUGCCGCGUGAGUGAAGAAGGCCUUCGGGUUGUAAAGCUCUUUCACCCGUGACGAUGAUGACGGUAACGGGAGAAGAAGCCCCGGCUAACUCCGUGCCAGCAGCCGCGGUAAUACGGAGGGGGCAAGCGUUGUUCGGAAUUACUGGGCGUAAAGGGCGCGUAGGCGGCUUUGCAAGUUGGGCGUGAAAGCCCUGGGCUUAACCCAGGAAUUGCGCUUGAGACUGCGAGGCUUGAGUGCGGGAGAGGUGAGUGGAAUUCCCAGUGUAGAGGUGAAAUUCGUAGAUAUUGGGAAGAACACCAGUGGCGAAGGCGGCUCACUGGCCCGCAACUGACGCUGAGGCGCGAAAGCGUGGGGAGCAAACAGGAUUAGAAACCCCUGUAGUCC
rnacentral:rRNA from 1 species